rnacentral:lncRNA from 1 species
CUUGGCUUCCUCCAUCCACGUGGGGUAGUCAAUCAGCUCAUCAUUCGCAAACAACCAAGUGCCGUCGCCGCCGCCGCCUUCACCAGCGGCGCCGCCGCCGCCAGUGACGGCUGUCCGGCUGCCCCGAAAGCACUGUCCCAGAAAACAAGAAGAGGAAAACGGAUUCCGGUCGGAUUCGAACGUGAACGCCAACAGUUUCAAAGAUAGCCGGACUGCCCAAUCCUGGUUUAAUUACGCUUUGGUAAUACAUUAUACUUAAGCAGGCACAUAGACAAGCAUUCGAUCACCCACCUGAUCGAGCCGUCAACAUUUUUCUCGGGGUUGACUUUGUUGACCGAGUUGUAGCAAAACGUUAUAAAGGCCCCGCCUGCAUGUGAUCCUGGCCGUAACUCCAGGAUCUGCGUGUAGCAGUGUACGACAACGUACGGCAAGGCCGGGAUACAGCGAAUAAGAGAAAUGAAGGGCGCGAUCUUUUUUUGAGACAGACAGGUAAACUUCGGAUGAGCCUAACCCUAAGGGCGUACGGGUGAGAACGCCAAGGGCAUCGGCAGUUAUGUGGACGAGCAUCGGGAUUUCCCCACACCAGUAACCGCCAAACAAAUAACCGCUUAGAUGAAAUAUUUGGCCCAAAAGAUGUGGUUCGGAUUGUUCGCCACACGAGGCAACCGCACUUUAAGGUUUGAGUAGGAGAAGCGCCCCCUUG